GACGAACGCUGGCGGCGUGCCUAAUACAUGCAAGUCGAACGAACUCUGGUAUUGAUUGGUGCUUGCAUCAUGAUUUACAUUUGAGUGAGUGGCGAACUGGUGAGUAACACGUGGGAAACCUGCCCAGAAGCGGGGGAUAACACCUGGAAACAGAUGCUAAUACCGCAUAACAACUUGGACCGCAUGGUCCGAGUUUGAAAGAUGGCUUCGGCUAUCACUUUUGGAUGGUCCCGCGGCGUAUUAGCUAGAUGGUGGGGUAACGGCUCACCAUGGCAAUGAUACGUAGCCGACCUGAGAGGGUAAUCGGCCACAUUGGGACUGAGACACGGCCCAAACUCCUACGGGAGGCAGCAGUAGGGAAUCUUCCACAAUGGACGAAAGUCUGAUGGAGCAACGCCGCGUGAGUGAAGAAGGGUUUCGGCUCGUAAAACUCUGUUGUUAAAGAAGAACAUAUCUGAGAGUAACUGUUCAGGUAUUGACGGUAUUUAACCAGAAAGCCACGGCUAACUACGUGCCAGCAGCCGCGGUAAUACGUAGGUGGCAAGCGUUGUCCGGAUUUAUUGGGCGUAAAGCGAGCGCAGGCGGUUUUUUAAGUCUGAUGUGAAAGCCUUCGGCUCAACCGAAGAAGUGCAUCGGAAACUGGGAAACUUGAGUGCAGAAGAGGACAGUGGAACUCCAUGUGUAGCGGUGAAAUGCGUAGAUAUAUGGAAGAACACCAGUGGCGAAGGCGGCUGUCUGGUCUGUAACUGACGCUGAGGCUCGAAUGUAUGGGUAGCAAACAGGAUUAGAUACCCUGGUAGUCCAUACCGUAAACGAUGAAUGCUAAGUGUUGGAGGGUUUCCGCCCUUCAGUGCUGCAGCUAACGCAUUAAGCAUUCCGCCUGGGGAGUACGGCCGCAAGGCUGAAACUCAAAGGAAUUGACGGGGGCCCGCACAAGCGGUGGAGCAUGUGGUUUAAUUCGAAGCUACGCGAAGAACCUUACCAGGUCUUGACAUACUAUGCAAAUCUAAGAGAUUAGACGUUCCCUUCGGGGACAUGGAUACAGGUGGUGCAUGGUUGUCGUCAGCUCGUGUCGUGAGAUGUUGGGUUAAGUCCCGCAACGAGCGCAACCCUUAUUAUCAGUUGCCAGCAUUAAGUUGGGCACUCUGGUGAGACUGCCGGUGACAAACCGGAGGAAGGUGGGGAUGACGUCAAAUCAUCAUGCCCCUUAUGACCUGGGCUACACACGUGCUACAAUGGAUGGUACAACGAGUUGCGAACUCGCGAGAGUAAGCUAAUCUCUUAAAGCCAUUCUCAGUUCGGAUUGUAGGCUGCAACUCGCCUACAUGAAGUCGGAAUCGCUAGUAAUCGCGGAUCAGCAUGCCGCGGUGAAUACGUUCCCGGGCCUUGUACACACCGCCCGUCACACCAUGAGAGUUUGUAACACCCAAAGUCGGUGGGGUAACCUUUUAGGAACCAGCCGCCUAAGGUGGGACAGAUGAUUAGGGUG
rnacentral:rRNA from 1 species